rnacentral:lncRNA from 1 species
AAGCUGCUCUUUGAGAGCAGAGUGUACUCAUCAGAGGGAGUUGUUCCCUUCCAAGUUCUCUGAGUGAGACUGUGGUAGGAAAACCAUGCUGAGAAGCCAGAGCAGGCCUCUCCCCUCUGCCAGGGUUCCAGGCAUGUUCUUCAGAUGCCGAUUUCGAUUUCCAUUCCUUUUAUGCAGGCAGGGUUCUGGAGACAAAAUGUCUAACUGUGAUUCACUUUUGGAAAUUCUCACCUUUUUAAAUUGCUGAUGUGGAUUAUGAAAGUGAAAGAAUGUUGAUGGUAGCCCAGGGCCAAAGAGUCUUUCAAUUAUUCUUCCCUUCUUCCAGCCCUAGCUGGCUGAGGCACAGAAAAAGUCUGCUGUCAGCUCUCUGGAAAUGUGUGCCCCAAAUGAAUAGAUGGUUCUAAGAUGGAUUCUCUGGGACAAGAUCUUGCUCUGCUCUCUAUAAUGGCCAAAGGCUGGAGUUCAUUUGCAGAGGAAGCUCUGAGACAAGAGAUAUUAGCACUGGAAUUGAUGGGCAUGGCUCAAUCAAACAGGUGUAAAACUAGAGGGUGGUGCAAAGACAAAGCAGUGGACAUCAUGCUCCUGGAUUUGAGAACUAUCUUGAAAUAGAAACCAUAUAGACAUUAAGGAUCUUAAUUUAAAAAGGCAAGGAAGAAGACUGAUCGCUCAGCUUCUCAGUGCCUUAAGGCAUCGUUUAAAACACCUUAAAUGCAUCUCUGUGCAUCCAAAGCACUGAAGCACAAAGGACUUUCCAAGCUAUUACACUAAACAGUCACUUUUCCCUCUGCUCUGGGAACAUGAAACAACACAGACUUGAGUGGAGCUGAGCUCAGGAUCUCUCAGGGGAGGCCAGUGCCGUGCUGAGGAGAGAUUUGACACCUGUACCACGGUGGCUUAGCAUCAUGCAGCCGGAUGAACACUUGGUGUAGGCGUUUGUUAACCAAUGCAGCUCAUAGGUGGAUGUGACACCAGUGUCUGUAGUCCAAGUACCCAGAGGCUGAGGCAGGUGCUCCAUGGCUAAAUACUGAGUUCCAGGACAGCCUGAGAUAAGAAGCAAAAGCCUGAUUUAAACAAACAAAAUCUCCAUCAAGGCUUCCAGUGGUUUCCAGUGAGAAGACAACGCGGGAUCCUUCCAGGAAAACAGGACGUCAGUUCUCCAGUCUAACAUCCAGCAAGUUGAAACUUGUAUUAAACUAGAUUUCUCUUGCUGACACUACCAA